CCUACGGGCGGCAGCAGUGAGGAAUAUUGGUCAAUGGCCGAGAGGCUGAACCAGCCAAGUCGCGUGAGGGAAGACGGUCCUACGGGUUGUAAACCUCUUUUGUCGGGGAGCAAAGAGAGUCACGUGUGACUCAUUGAGAGUACCUGAAGAAAAAGCAUCGGCUAACUCCGUGCCAGCAGCCGCGGUAAUACGGAGGAUGCGAGCGUUAUCCGGAUUUAUUGGGUUUAAAGGGUGCGUAGGCGGGGGUUAAAGUCAGCGGUAAAAUCGCGGGGCUCAACCCCGUCCAGCCGUUGAAACUGCAGCCCUUGAGUGCGCGAGAAGUAUGCGGAAGGCGUGGUGUAGCGGUGAAAUGCAUAGAUAUCACGCAGAACUCCGAUUGCGAAGGCAGCAUACCGGCGCGCAACUGACGCUGAUGCACGAAAGCGUGGGUAUCGAACAGGAUUAGAUACCCCAGUAGUC
rnacentral:rRNA from 1 species